rnacentral:rRNA from 1 species
GAUGAACGCUGGCGGCGUGCCUAAUACAUGCAAGUCGAGCGAACAGACGAGGAGCUUGCUCCUCUGACGUUAGCGGCGGGCGGGUGAGUAACACGUGGAUCACCUACCUCUAUGACUGGGAUAACUACGGGAAACCGGAGCUAAUAACGGAGAAUAUAUUGAACCGGAUGGUUCAAUAGUGAAUGACGGUUUUGGUGUCUCUAAUAGAUGAUUCCGCGCCGCAUUAGCUAGUUGGUAAGGUAACGGCUUACCAAGGCUACGAUGCGUAGCCGACCUGAGAGGGUGAUCGGCCACACUGGAACUGAGACACGGUCCAGACUCCUACGGGAGGCAGCAGUAGGGAAUCUUCCGCAAUGGGCGAAAGCCUGAUGGAGCAACGCCGCGUGAGUGAUGAAGGUCUUCGGAUCGUAAAGCCCUGUUAUUAAGGAAGAACAAAUGUGUAAGUAACCAUGCACGUCUUGACGGUACCUAAUCAAAAAGCCCCGGCUAACUACGUG